CACAAGCAAGAAUGUGUGAGAAGAUCACAGAGACCUAAAGAAGGGGAAGGGAAGAACCCACAUGUGAGAGAGAAGAGAUUGUCUGACUUGGUGUUGCGCCUUAAAGCACUAUCCAAUAAACCUCCUACAUGCAAAUCUCCAUCUCAGAAUCUGUAUCCAAGAGAUUCUACUCAAGACAUCAUCUUUUCCAGUCAGUGUUCCUAAUUGCACUGCCCCUGGAAAACGCACGGAGAAGAAAUACAGCAAAAUACAUGAGAUGGUGAAACACUCUGGCAACUGCAAGCGGACAGAUGGGAUCUGGGAGGGACUCCCAUCUUCUGCAUGGCAUCAGCACAAGGGUGAAGAGGGAAGAUAAAGGAUCAUGCAGGGAGUUUCAUGGACUAG
rnacentral:lncRNA from 10 species